AGCUCCAAUAGCGUAUAUUAAAGUUGUUGCGGUAAAAAGCUCGUAGUUGGAUUUCUGCUUAGAACGACCGGUCUACACAACGUGUACGUAUCUGGUUCGGUCUGGGCAUCCUCUCGAAAGACGACUCUGCGCUUGAUUGCGUGGAUCGGAUUCCGGGACUUUUACUUUGAGGAAAUUAGAGUGUUCACGGCAGGCUAUCGCCAGAAUACAUUAGCAUGGAAUAAUACUAUAGGAUCUUGAUUCUAUUUUGUUGGUUUCUAGGAUUAAGAUAAUGAUUAAUAGGGACAAUUGGGGGCAUUUGUAUCAACACGUCAGAGGUGGAAUUCUUGGAUUGUGUUGCGACAAACUACUGCGAAAGCAUUUGCCAAGGAUGUUUUCA
rnacentral:rRNA from 1 species